rnacentral:rRNA from 1 species
AUUGAACGCUGGCGGCAUGCUUUACACAUGCAAGUCGAACGGCAGCGCGGGCUUCGGCCUGGCUGCGAGUGGCGAACGGGUGAGUAAUGCAUCGGAACGUGCCCAGUAGUGGGGGAUAGCCCGGCGAAAGCCGGAUUAAUACCGCAUACGACCUGAGGGUGAAAGCGGGGGACCGAAAGGCCUCGCGCUAUUGGAGCGGCCGAUGUCGGAUUAGCUAGUUGGUGGGGUAAAGGCUUACCAAGGCGACGAUCCGUAGCUGGUCUGAGAGGACGACCAGCCACACUGGGACUGAGACACGGCCCAGACUCCUACGGGAGGCAGCAGUGGGGAAUUUUGGACAAUGGGGGCAAGCCUGAUCCAGCCAUGCCGCGUGCGGGAAGAAGGCCUUCGGGUUGUAAACCGCUUUUGUUCGGGAAGAAAUCCUCUGGGCUAAUACCCCGGGGGGAUGACGGUACCGGAAGAAUAAGCACCGGCUAACUACGUG